GAAUUAGCCCAGUUGGUUAGAGCAUCGUGCUAAUAACACGGAGGUCGUUAGUUCGAUCCCCCCAUAGGCCA